CAACGAGCGCAACCCCUGUCCUGUGUUGCCAUCAUUCAGUUGGGAACUCGCAGGAGACCGCCAGCGAUAAGCUGGAGGAAGGUGGGGAUGACGUCAAGUCCUCAUGGCCUUUAUGUCCAGGGCUACACACGUGCUACAAUGGACGGUACAAACCGCAGCAAACCCGUGAGGGGGAGCCAAUCG
rnacentral:rRNA from 1 species